GUUUUCAUGGUGAUGGUGACUAUGAGGAAAUAAAGGACUGCUCCCUACAGUCCAGCAUCUACGCCAACUUACCCACAAGCCCCUCUGACUCUCUCAACUCCUCUAGCGUCAACUUCCACAAGAACCCCAGCUACCCCAAUGAAGCCACUGUCGCCAUCGCGAAAGAGGGCACUUCUUCUGGUGACUAAGCCACUGUCAACAUUGGUCAAAGCCCUGAGGCUCCUCCCAUCUACUAUACAGUGUGCUGGAGCCAGAGUGGAUCCUCACCAGCUGCAACCCGUUCCAUUAUCAAGACCUCUACAAAUACUCAGUCCUGCCACUUCCACUCUGCCGGAUCGCAUUCUCCGUUCAUUUUACUCCUCUGACUCCUGUCUCCUGUUCCACAUCUCAC
rnacentral:lncRNA from 1 species